CUCACAGCCUCAGUUCUCUGUCUCACUCAUCUCCUCCCCUCUCUUAGAUCUCGCUGUCUCUAGCUAUCCAUCAAAGAUGUGAAAAAGGUCGAGGAACAUUUCUGAUGAUGAUGAUGAUGUUGUGGAAGUUGAGGAUAAGGGGAAAGAUGGACCAUGGCCUGAAAACAGUGAGGAUCUAUUUAUUGAUUGAAUGAUGAGGAGAUCUCAAGGUGCAACUGAAACUUUUUCUCAAACUAGUUGACAAACCAUGAUGAAAAGUUGAUUAAAUUAUUUGGGGAUAUAACAAUAAUCAGAAGACAUGCCCAUCCUCAACCAAAUCUUCCUCAGAUUCAACAUAUAGAAGCAGAUAUAAAACUAGAGGUGACGGUGAUACUAAUGAAAAGGAUGAAACUGAAACGCAUCCACAUUACAAGAAAACUAGUAAAAGGAGAAAUCAUAUUAGUGAUGUAUUGUCUUCUAUGAUUCAAGUGUUUUUUGAGACAUCAAAGAACUUGAAUUAAAUAGUUGAGAAAAGAUUUGUUGGUUCUUCAAAAUCGCAUAGUAAUAAUGUGGUUCAAUCAGCUGCAAACAGAUAUUGCAACAGAAGAAUUGAUUUCGGCAAUGCCCAACCCCGUUUUAGGUAGAACUAAAGCCCAACCCAAGCUUUUGUAAAACUUCCCCAACCUUCUUUGAAAAAUAAAAAUAAAAAUAUUAGUCCAGCUUAUAUCCUAUACACUCAAUCUUCUUCUUGCACUACUUUUUCUUGUGAUUUAAUUAUAAAACUAUUUCAAAAUUUUGAUUUAGAGAUUUAGAAAUUAUGAGGUUUUUUAUUUUUGCUACUGAUGUGUAAUUUUGAAAUUUAUGGGUGUUAUUGUGUAAGUUUUUAUUUUUAUUUUUAAGGAAGGUGUGUUAUUAAGUUAUUAGAAACUAUGUGCAUGUUUUUAUUCUUAUUAAUGAAAUUCACUCAUACUGUUGAGUUUUGUUUUAUGUAUAAUUGGGGAAGUUCUUGAAAAUGUAGUUGAAGAUGUAUGAGUAAAUAAUAAAAGUAUUUAAUAUAUUAUAUACAAAUUGAGAAAUGUCAUAAAAACAAAAUGAAUUCUGCGAAAUUUCAUUAGAAGUUUACUUAACAUUUUGGUCAAAUGCAAAGUUUGCAAACCAUAAACGAAGAAAGGCAUAAUAGAAAAACAUCCUCGUCAUAGCCAUAUGGGUUGCGGACUGACCAUAGCCAUAGCACCAUGUUCAAUAAAUAGAGUUUACGAAUAGGCCCAUUUUUCAAAUGAAUUUUCAACAAUUGGGCCCACUGUUAUUAGGUAAAUUUCGACUAAUAAGUUCAAAUAUAAACGUGAAAAUUUGUAUUGGAAAUUGGCAUUUUCUGAAAAAAAAAAAAAAAAAACAAGAAAUUUGGUAUG